AUUGAACGCUGGCGGCAGGCUUAACACAUGCAAGUCGAGCGGAGUGAUGGUGCUUGCACUAUCACUUAGCGGCGGACGGGUGGGUAAUGCUUAGGAAUCUGCCAAUUAGUGGGGGACAACAUCUCGAAAGGGAUGCUAAUACCGCAUACGUCCUACGGGAGAAAGCAGGGGAUCACUUGUGACCUUGCGCUAAUAGAUGAGCCUAAGUCGGAUUAGCUAGUUGGUGGGGUAAAGGCCUACCAAGGCGACGAUCUGUAGCGGGUCUGAGAGGAUGAUCCGCCACACUGGGACUGAGACACGGCCCAGACUCCUACGGGAGGCAGCAGUGGGGAAUAUUGGACAAUGGGGGGAACCCUGAUCCAGCCAUGCCGCGUGUGUGAAGAAGGCCUUAUGGUUGUAAAGCACUUUAAGCGAGGAGGAGGCUCUUUUGGUUAAUACCCAAGAUGAGUGGACGUUACUCGCAGAAUAAGCACCGGCUAACUCUGUGCCAGCAGCCGCCGUAA
rnacentral:rRNA from 1 species